rnacentral:rRNA from 1 species
AAUAACCCGGCGAAAGUCGGACUAAUACCGUAUAAUAUCCUAUGCAGGCAUCUAACUAGGAUAAGGUUUAGCGGUAAGGGAUGGGGAUGCGUCUGAUUAGGCAGUUGGCGGGGUAACGGCCCACCAAACCGACGAUCAGUAGGGGUUCUGAGAGGAAGGUCCCCCACAUUGGAACUGAGACACGGUCCAAACUCCUACGGGAGGCAGCAGUG